CAAUAACCCGGGGAAACUCGGGCUAAUACCAGAUACGUCCGCCAGGAGAAAGAUUUAUCGCCUAAAGAUCGGCCCGCGUCGGAUUAGCUAGUUGGUGAGGUAAUGGCCCACCAAGGCGACGAUCCGUAGCUGGUCUGAGAGGAUGAUCACCCACACUGGGACUGACACACGGCCCAGACUCCUACGGGAGGCAGCAGUGGGGAAUAUUGGACAAUGGGCGAAAGCCUGAUCCAUUCCUGCUGCGUGAGUGAAGAAGGCCUUAGGGUUGUAAUGCUCUUUCAGCGGGG
rnacentral:rRNA from 1 species